GGGGCCAUCGUCUAGGGGUUAGGACACCGCCCUUUCACGGCGGCAGCACGGGUUCAAAUCCCGUUGGCCCUACCA
rnacentral:tRNA from 1 species